UUUCUAGGGAAACUUUAUUGCACAUCUCCAAGUAUAUUUAUUCUGCUCCCUGACUUCGCCCCCGAGAGUGAGAGAGCGAGCGUUGCCCUAACUUGGAGCGACGAUAGGAUAUCAGUUAUUGCAGAAGGAGGCAACAAGCUUGAGGUAGUAGCUGCAUAAUCUGCAAGAAGUUCUGUGGGUGAAGUGAGCAUACCUAUGAGUUUCUUGCAAUUUAUGCAAUUGCUGCCUCAAGCUUGUUGCCUCCCUUUGCCAAAACUGUAAGUACAAAGCCCAGGUUUAGCCACACUAGAUAUUUCUUGGUAUUGCUAGAUUUAUAUUUUCACAGUUAACUAGGCUUCGAAAAUAAUCAUCCUAUAAGGUGAAGUGGUGAACUAUAAUCUGAAUUCUGAAAUUCAAUUGUGAGAUGCGAUCUCAUGGGCAUGAAGAUUUAAAUGUCUGUUUAGAAUGAACUGAAUGAGUCAAUGGGCACUGACCUAAAUGAAAUGGCUUUGAUGACUGAGUUGAGAGACGGACUGAAGCUGCUAUUCUGGUAUCUUUGCAAGAUGGAUUAUGAUAGCACAAUGGAGGCUGAUACCUUCUUUUGCCUAACCCUCAGUGGCCUUGCAAGAGCUUCCAGAAUGAACUACAGAUGUUGACCACCUAUUAUAACAUACCCUUGAUUAUUAUGCAUUGCCAACUUUGUAUUUAAGUAUUGGCAACUGCUUCCCAACUGGAAUGAUGUAGCCACAGUCCCUGCACUUCAUUGUGUUCGCUGUGAUUGAGAUGUGACAUAUAUGUAAUAUGGAAUGAGAUAUGCUGUCUUUGGUAGCUCCUGCUGGUUUGAUUCUUUAUUACGAAAUAAGCGGUAACUUCACCAUAAACAAUAGAAAGAGAUUUUGAAUUCUCUUGAUUGAAGUAGAGAUAUUGCUCUAAUCAGGGAUCAAUGGUAAUAAAAGAUUCAUGAAGCUCUGGACCUUGCUAUUAAUUACUGAAUAAGCAGUACUCAUAUAACUGUGAUAUCAACUUGUAUUAUACAUUCAUUUCUUUGUUUGUUUUUUUUGGUUUU